GCCUGGGUGGCUCAGUCGGUUGAGUGCCUGACUUGGGCUCAGGUCAUGAUCUCACGGCUGAUGGGUUCGAACCCCACGUCGGGCU